GAUGAACGCUGGCGGCGUGCCUAAUACAUGCAAGUCGAGCGAACGGACGAGAAGCUUGCUUCUCUGAUGUUAGCGGCGGACGGGUGAGUAACACGUGGAUAACCUACCUAUAAGACUGGGAUAACUUCGGGAAACCGGAGCUAAUACCGGAUAAUAUUUUGAACCGCAUGGUUCAAUAGUGAAAGACGGUUUUGCUGUCACUUAUAGAUGGAUCCGCGCUGCAUUAGCUAGUUGGUAAGGUAACGGCUUACCAAGGCAACGAUGCGUAGCCGACCUGAGAGGGUGAUCGGCCACACUGGAACUGAGACACGGUCCAGACUCCUACGGGAGGCAGCAGUAGGGAAUCUUCCGCAAUGGGCGAAAGCCUGACGGAGCAACGCCGCGUGAGUGAUGAAGGUCUUCGGAUCGUAAAACUCUGUUAUUAGGGAAGAACAUAUGUGUAAGUAACUGUGCACAUCUUGACGGUACCUAAUCAGAAAGCCACGGCUAACUACGUG
rnacentral:rRNA from 1 species